CAUGUCUGUCAUCCCAACAAUUUGGAGACUGAGUCAGGAAGAUCACAAGUUCAAGGUCAUCCUGGCCGGUUUAUCAAGCCCUUGUUUCACAAUAAAGUAAAAAAUAAACUGGAUGUGUAACUCCGGGUAGAGCAUGUACUACCCACUGCAUGACCUCAUACUUUGGGCUCAGACCUGGUACAGCAGCAACAAAAUUCAAUACAUAAAUCCCCCUCAAAGGAAACAGGGUUUUUUUUAAAAAAAAUAAUUGAUUUAAAUUUAUUUUAUGGGCAUUGGUGUGAAGGUGAGACGCCCUGGAGCUGGAGUUUCCAGCAGUUGUGAUUUCCCGGAGGCCUCCAGAAGAGUGGCCAGUGCUCUUAAUCAGCUGAGCCAUCUCUCCAGCCCCACAAGGAGCAAUCAAAGAUGAGAUAGGAAAACUUCAUUUUUUCGAGGACAGCGGCCUCUCUAACUGGAUCUUUUGGGUAUUAUUAAGCUGUGAAUAAAUGUGCGGACGAGACACUUUUUUGUUGCUAGCUCUUUGAAGAACCGUCCAACUUGGUGAGCUUUAAACAUUACCAGAAAAACCUACAGAUUAGACACUUUCCCGCUCACCAUAGAAAAUUUAAUACAGAGGGUCCAGUUAGACUCUGCUCCUGCAGCAAGUGUAGUCCAGCUGGGAUGCCCCCGACACAGACUGGAAACUCAGGACCCAAGGGAACCACUGGGACCACUGCCUCCAGGGUGUCACCCAACUAAUCCUCCUCGGAGCCCAAGAGAGAGCUGUUAAUACUCCAUUUCACAGGUAAUUAAACUGAGGCUCAGUCUUACCCUUUGCCUUGUGUUUGGUUAAUCCCACACUGGAACAGAGCAAGAACUCAACAAUGCUCUCUGCCUCUAGGGCCCAUGCCUCAACCGCUAGCCACCUCCCUCUCCUAUCUCCCUCACUGUGGUUUCUGAGACCAGUCCCCACCCCCAGGCUUGGACCCUCUAGGCAUCCUCCAAUUUAACAAGUUGGGAGUUGUCUAUUUUCUCUCUCUUUUUGCACAGACCCUUCUCCUUUGCCCCUCCCAUGACUAUUCAGCAGCCUUGGUCUCCUGAUUCUAAUCUUGCCCGACCCAUGUCAGUCUUCUGAAUCCCCAUUGGAUAAUGUCCUAUCACACAUCUCCCUGCAGAUCACUACUGUGUUCCCAACAUUUCGGCUCCCCACCACCACCUUACAGCAGUUUCUUUCAAUGGGGGGUUAAUCCUCAGUACUACUUCCCCAGUGACAAGCACAGGGGACCUAGAGCACAUCACUUCCAGUUCCGGCCUUCAGAUGGUCCAUAAACAUUGAAGAUAUAGACAUUUCCCCAAGUUCUUUUUAACAGCGCUAAGGUCUGUGUCAUAUUUACAAUGAAUUGGUCUUGGAGGAAUCCCUCAGGCCUUCUGAAGGGAAACAGUCUAACAGGGACUUUAGUAUAGUACAUUUGAAGCAAAUGUGUACAUGGGAUCCUUGACUGUUACUCAGUAAAUAUUUGCAAGGCCUACUUUAUGCCGUGUUUGUGCUAGUCUGGAAUGGCACUUAAUUCCCUUUCUGAAGGACUUUGCUUAGUUGGCGCAGACAGACACUAAAGCAAUUCAUUUCCAGUAGCUCAGUGGUGGAGCACUUGCCUGGCAUGCUAAAAACCCUACAUUUGACCCCCAGUAUGAAUAAAAGAAUAAAUCAAUUCAUUUUAUAAGUAAUAUAAAAGUAAAGGCUGGCUAUGUAGCUGGGCUGAUAGGGCACUUACCCACCCUGUUAGAGGAGGGUCUGGGUUCGAUCUCCAGCCAGUAGAUCAGGAACUGGCUGUGAUAGCGUCCACUUGUUUUGUUACACACUUUGUAAAAUGUAUUCUUCUCUCAUACACUACAUCCCAACCUGAUCCUUCUCUCCCUCCCCAGCUCUCCUCUCCUCCAGAUUCACUGCUCCUCCAUUUCCCUUUGAAAAGAGCCCACCUCCCAGGGAUGUCCACUGAACACUGCAUAACAAGAUGCAAUAAGAUCAGGGCUGGACAAGACAACCCAGUAGGAGAAAAAGGGUCCCAAGAGCAGGCAAAAGAGUCAGAGACACCCCCACUCCCACAGUUAGGAGUCCCACAAAAACCCCAAGCUAAGCAACCACAACGUGUAAACAGAGGACCUAGCACAGACCCAUGCAGACUCUUGAUUGCUGCUUCAGUCUUGGUGAGCCUAGGAGCCCUGCUUGGCUGAUUCUGUGGGCUGUGUUCUCCUGGUGUCCACCACCCCUCUGGCUCCUACAAUCAAUCCUUCCUCCCCCUCUUUUGCAGGUUCCCAGAGCUCUGCCUAAUGUUUGGCUCUGGGUCUCAGUAUCUGCUGUUGGGGGCAAGAGUAUCAGAAGUUGAAUGUGCUGGUUUUAUAUCAAGUUUGAGGCCAGCCUGUUCUACAUGAAACCCUGCCUUGAAAUAAUAAUUGAUCUUGCAUACUGUUUCUUCUAUUCCAGUUACCUGCUUUGGGGGAGAUUGUUUUGGUUUGGUUUGGUUUUGGUUUUUCAAGACAGGGUUUCUCUGUAGCUUUGGAGCUUGUUCUGGAACUCACCCUGCAGACUAGGCUGGCCUCGAACUCACAGAGAUCCAUCUGUCUGUGCCUCUCGAGUGCUGGGAUUAAAGACGUGUGCCAUGCGACCACUGCCCAGCUGGGGUUUUUGUUUGUUUGUUUUUGGUUUUUGGUGUGUGUGUGUGUGUGUGUGUGUGUGUGUGUGUGUGUGUGUGUGUGUGUGUGUGUUUAAACUGUAAUGGACUAACAACCUGACAGUUCUUCUGUGUUCCUGAUGUCAUUUAGGAAGCUUGAACUCAGAUCCAGGGGACAGCCUCAUCACUCAGAAGAUGGUCGAACAACCAGAACCUAAGAAAGGAAUGAGGAACUACUAGUGAGGACCAUUUUAGUGAACAAAGACAUGAUUGGUAGGGAGCUGCUUUAGUUGUUUUGAAAUAGUGUCUCUAGUAGUUCAGGCUGGCCUCGCACUCCCUAGGCACCUGAGAGUGACCUUGAACUUUGCUCUGGAGCCUAGGGAUGACAGGCAUACGAUCACAAGCAAUGGAGGACACAAACCCCCGUGGGCCUCCACGACCACUUAUCGUGUUGUCCGAUGGACGAGUCAAGAGGCCAGAACUCCCAGCUUGGGGGAAGGAGAACAAAGAGCUGUCUGCAGGAGGACCAGCCCUAGAGACACAUGGUGGGGCUUCCGGAGUUCUGGUGAGUCAUGAGCAUGGCCUAAGAGGAAAGCACCUGAGGCCGGGGAAGAACCAUAAGAAGAGCCCGGGGACCGAAAGCUGGAUUUCACUCCACCCAGAACAGUUCCUUUUCCCGGUUGUCAGAGAGGAAAACUGUCAUUCAUGGGUCGCCUGGUAGGGUGGAGCGAAGUGAGCCCUAGAAUAAAGGACGCUCUCAUGGUUCUUAACAAUAUUUACAGACGACCUCAAAGGCAGGACCGAGUCAACUGUGUGGAGGGCCAGCCAGUUAAUAGUCGUGGAGCAUCCAUCCCUGGAGCCUCUGCUGCAGCAACUCACUCUGCUAGUGUAGCACACCAACACCCAUACACCGUAUCUGAAUGGAUGAGAGGGGCUGUGCUCGAAUGCCUGUGAUCCCCAAAUUCAGAAGGUUGGGGCUGGAGGAGCAGUUCAGGAUUGUCCUCGGCUACACAUCAAGUUCAAAGCUGAUCUUGGAGACUUAGGACCGUGUCUCAAAAAAAAAAAAAAAGACAAGAUCUGAUAAUCAAAGUAAAAAUUCCAGCUGUGCAAAGAAACAGAAAAAUAUAAAAUAUAGUCCAUGAUGAGAAAACAAUACAAUAGAAAUAGAUCAGGAAAUGAUGGACAUGACAGACGAUGGAAUUAGUCAACAAGGACAUCAAACAACUAUCGAAUGCAGACACUAUAUGUUCAUAAACAUAAAAACAUGAAAAUGUGAUGAAAUGUCAUUGAGAGAAAAAAAAAGACUCAAUUCAAAUUUUUAGAAAUGAAAAGGACAUUGACAAUGAAAAAUGCCUUGGGUGGAUGUAUUGAUUAGUUUUUAGUUGUCAACUUGGCGUAAUACAGGAGGAGAGCCCCUAUGAAGGAUUGUCUAGAUCUGGUCGGCCUCCAGACAUGUCUGAAGAACAUCGUCUUGAUUGCGCUGAUUAAGGUGGGAAGACGUUCCCACUCUCGUUGGUGCUAUCCCAAGGCAGGAGAUCUGGGUUGUCUGGGAAUGCAGAAAACUAGCUGAGCCAGCAGCAAUUUAUCCUCUGCUCCUGACUGUGGAUGUGACAUGACAAGUGAUGUCUUAAAGCUCCUGCCUGCUGCUGCCUGGAAUUCCUGGCUAUGAUGGACUGUAGCCUGGAACUGUGAGCCAAAAGACCCCUUUCUCCCUUGGGUUGCUUUCCUUGGGGUAUUUAUCACAGCAGCGGGAAAGGAAGCUAAGACAGCAGACCAGCCCCCCAGGGAGAAGUGAGUGGGCUAUACGGUAAUAGAAACUCCACACUGAAAUGCGGUGGAGAGGCGGGUGAGAGCGUAAGGAAGACCAGAGCAACUGAACCGUGAGGCACCAGGCAGCCCACUGUACACACGUUUGGACGUCCCAGAGAAGACAGGAAAACAGAUACAAAUGCUUAAAGAGGUCAAAUACGGUAUUUAUUAAAGCGGCUACCAGAUCUUACUGUUAACAAGAACUUAUCUCCUAUCAAAUCGCUCCCUCUUCAGUGUUUCGGUCACCAUGUCUUCAAUAUAAUGUAUUCCCUGUAAGUCUGUGCUUUUAGUGUUUUCAUUUAUUUUUUUAUUUUUAUUUUUUGGUUUUUCGAGACAGAGUUUCUCUGGGUUAUUUUGGUGCCUGUCCUGGAUCUCGCUCUGUAGACCAGGCUGGCCUCGAACUCACAGAGAUCCGCCUGGCUCUGCUUCCUUAGUACAGUUUUUAUUUAAUUUUAAACAAUGUCUACUCGUGAAGUCCAAGCAGCCCCCUCAUGCCUCUGCUGCCACACCUUCCCUGCCAUGAUGUACUGUACUCAGUGAGCCCAAAACAAAACAAAACCAAAAGACCCCAAACCUUUCUUCUUUAACUUGCAUUUGCUGGAGCAUUUUGUCUCAGCAACAGGAAAAGAACUAAGACAAGAUGGGUAAGGGAGAUAAGUUUUAUGUCUACAUGUUGUAUACCAGUUUCCUCUGAGGUUAAAACAUUCCAUCCUGCAGGAAAACCCUUACUCAGGAAGGUAAACAACUCCAAAGAGCUCCAGGAAGUUCCUGAAACUGACCAGAUUCACUGGGCGCCUCCCAGCUGGAGUAAGCAGUAAAAGAUGGGAUUCCCUCUCCAGUGAAAGGAAGCUGAAUAGACUGUGAGAGGAGAAAAGCUGCAAAGACACCUGAGGUCCGAUCUGCUGCCUGGAAGGGGCAGAAACCAACUGAGCUGCCUAGAAGAGGCUUAGACCAGAAUCACUUGAAAAGGGACCAUCUCCAACCUGCUGAGGUGCCUUGCAGGCUGUGCACUGUGCUCUAGGUUUCCUGACUUCUGUGACCUGUCACCUAUGCUAGGGUAGGCUUUGGUCACGCGGCUGCUGUCUUUGAGUCAUUUCUGCUCCUGUAAGUGACCCCUCACCCAUACUCCUGGAAGUAACCCCAAUAAAACUCAUUGGCUCACCACA